AUGGGGCCAUGCGCAUGGGUUGGGACCCACAGCCCUUCACACGUGGGGCAGGUCCCCUGUGGAUGCUUGCAUUUAGUGGGGACCCCAAAUAGAGCCGCGUACGUGAGUGGGGGGCCCCACCCGUGGGCGAGGCCCCCCCGGGGAGCUGUGCGCGUGGGCUGGGCCCCCCAAAUCUUCAUGCGUGGGGCGGGCCCCACAAGGACCCACGGGCACACGUGGAUCCCCACGCAGGGGUCGGGUCCUUUAUGCCCCCCUGCGUGUGGCUCCGGUCCCGCGUGGGUGCCCACACCCAGGUGGGGGGGUCCUAUAGGGCCCCACGCCCACGGGGGGGUGCAGCUCAGGUCCCACCCCGACCCCCGCCCCCGGGGGGGGGGCCCGGCCCCCCCCCGCCACCCCAGGGGACAUCCGCCAGGGGGCGCCCUUCCCCACGCGCGUGGGGCACCCCCAGCCCCGGGGCACCCCCCGGGAGCACCCCCACUUCUUCUCCCCCCCCCCCCAACCCCAGGAGCCACGUGGGGAGCUGGGGGGGUCCUGUCCCGGCCCCAGCACCCCCCACCCGUGGGGUACCCACGCAGGGGGACCCCCCACGCCCGCUGCUGCCCCAGCGCAGGGACCCCUCGUGGGGGGGGGGGCAGGGGGUUGGGGGGGGUCAAGGUCAAGGUGGGGGGGUGGGGUGGGGACAGCGGGCCCCCCAGCUCUCACCAGGGUGACGCAGGACCUCGCUCCCAGGCUGGCAGCAGCGGGGACCCCAAUGGGGACACGGGGACACCGGCAGGGUCACGGGGAUCCCGAUGGGGACUCAGGAGCCCCGGGGGGGGAUCGGGGGGGGACGGGACGGGACACACACGGAGGAGCCACCGUGGGGCUGUGGGAGCCACCCGUGGGGACACGGGAGCGGUGACGGGGUCACGGGAACCAUGGCUGGCUCCGGACCCGGCCUCCUCCUUCCUGCCCCGCCUGGCCCCGCUUUGGCAGCGGCCCUGGCCCCCCAGGCCAGCCCUGGUCCCCGGUCCCUGGUCCCCGGCCCCACUGCCCCCCCCCAGCCCCACUGCGGCCCCGAUGCCUCUUGCGUCAGCCCCGCUGCGCCCCACUGAUAAUGCGGCUCCGGCCCCCGCCCCGCUCCCCCCGCUGCCCCCCUGCUCCUGCGCAUGGCCCCCAAGGACCAGGCAGCGCCCCGAGACCGGGGUGAGGGGCUGGGGGGUGCCGGGCAGCCUGGUCACCCCCCCAUGGGGGUCUGCACCUGCUGUGGGGUGGUUGGCAAGGAGGGAACCCAUGUCUCCUGCUUGGGUGUGCAAUGGGGAACCCAUAUAUCCUAUAUGGGUGUGCAAUGGGGAUCCCAUAUAUCCUAUAUGGGUGUGCAAUGGGGCACCCAUACCUCCUGCAUGGGUGUGCAAUGGGGUGCGCACACCUCAACCACGAGCACUCAUGCUGGGUACAGCCCCCUACACCCCACACCCUGUGCUCAGCACCAGGCACCCCAUUGCACGCUGCAGAGCCCAAAUCCGCCACCCCACAGAGCUGGCGUGCCGGGCAUGGAGCCCGAACCUCCCGAAGGACAUCCCAUACUGGUGCCCAAACCACAGCUCCCAGUGCACACACCCCAUGCACCCAGCACGGCACCCAUACCUCCUAAAGGACACCCCGUGCACCCCAUUAUGGUGCCCACACCCUAAUCCCAAAGCACUCCCCCCAUGCACCCAACGAGGCCCCCACAGGUCCUGAAGCACAAACCCCACGCACCCACCACAGCGCGGGACCGAGGGACCCCACAAACCCCCCCACCCCAGUGCCAAACCCUCCCGACCCUACCCGCACCCUACAGGGCCGUAUGCCCCCACGUGGGCACCCUUGGGUGCUCCCACCCACCCCAUCCCCACCACCCCCUUACAUCCAGGGACCCCACGGUGCCCCCCACCCCGAGACCCCGCACCGACCUUUGGGGUGGCUCGGGGACGCCGCUGCCGUCGCCGCCAGCCCCCGGCUCUCCGGUGGAAGAGCCGCGCGCCGCCGGGGCAGGCACCCAAAUGCCCUGAGUCACGCUCACCUCCUAAUCUGCCCCCCACCGCUGCCCCCCCCGGCUCGCCCGGCCCCCCCCCGGCCCCGUAAACAAGGUUAUCGGGGUGCAACAUCUUGCGCCUCGGCGGCUGCGCCCGGCCCCAACCCACGGUGCUGCCCCACGCUGCCCGGCCCCGCUCCGGCCACCCCGCAAUCCCACAGCUGCUAUCGGGGUUUUGGGUCCGGGUUUCCCUCGGGGAAUCCCCGGGAAUCCUCUCCCCUCCUUGGGCUUGGGGUUUUCUCUUUUUUUUUAAUUUUUUUUUAAUUUUUUUUAAAAAAAAAAAGGGGUUCCCCCCAGGCGGGGGGGGCAGGAGCCAUUUUGGGGCCCAUGGGUGGUGGGGGGGAUGCGCCCGUCCUGGGGUGUCCUGGAGGCUGGGUGCACCCUGCGGGUGUGUGUGCACGCCUGUGUGCACGCUCGUGUGUGUGCAAACGGGUGCACAGGGCUGUGUGUGCACGCACGAACCUUUGCACUCGUGUGUGCACGUGCACAAAGGCGUGCGUGCACCUGUGCACGAGCGCGUGAAUGCGGGCAGGUUUCCAAGUGCCUGUGUGCGUGCACAUGGAAAUGCAGGUGUGAAUGCACGCGUGUGCACACGUACACAGGUGUGUGUCUGCACGCGUGUGUUCAUGUACACGUGUGUGUGCACGCACGCGUGGGGCUGCACGC
rnacentral:lncRNA from 1 species